AUUCCGGAAAAAAGCUAUCUAACAACAAGCUAUAUAUAAUUUAUUUAGUGCGUGAAAAGCCGCACAUAUAGAAAAAAGACGAGAAGACCCUAGAAAUUUUUUAAAAGUUCAGUAAAUUCUAUUUUGUUGGGGCGACAUAGUAACACUUAACCUACUAUAUUAACAUGUUACUUAUAAGACGUAAGAUAAAAUUACUCUAGGGAUAACAGCAUAAUUUAUUAUUAAGUUUGUGACCUCGAUGUUGGACUAGGAAAUAUUUUAU
rnacentral:rRNA from 1 species